rnacentral:rRNA from 1 species
UACGUAGGUGGCGAGCGUUGUCCGGAAUUACUGGGUGUAAAGCGCGUGUAGGCGGGAGGCCAAGUCUGCUGUGAAAUCGCCCGGCUCAACUGGGCGGGGUCGGUGGAAACUGGUCACCUGGAGGACGGUAGAGGCGAGUGGAAUUCCCGGUGUAGUGGUGAAAUGCGUAGAGAUCGGGAGGAACACCAGUGGCGAAGGCGGCUCGCUGGGCCGGCCCUGACGCUGAGACGCGAAAGCGUGGGGAGCGAACAGG